GACCAGACUCCUACGGGAGGCAGCAGUGGGGGAUAUUGCACAAUGGGGGAAACCCUGAUGCAGCGACGCCGCGUGGGCGAAGAAGUAUUUCGGUAUGUAAAGCCCUAUCAGCAGGGAAGAAGAAAUGACGGUACCUGAGUAAGAAGCACCGGCUAAAUACGUGCCAGCAGCCGCGGUGAUACGUAUGGUGCAAGCGUUAUCCGGAUUUACUGGGUGUAAAGGGAGCGCAGGCGGCACGGCAAGCCUGAUGUGAAAGCCCGCGGCCCAACCGCGGGACUGCAUUGGGAACUACCGGGCUGGAGUGCCGGAGAGGUAGGCGGAAUUCCUAGUGUAGCGGUGAAAUGCGUAGAUAUUAGGAGGAACACCAGUGGCGAAGGCGGCUUACUGGACGGCAACUGACGCUGAGGCUCGAAAGCGUGGGGAGCAAACAGGAUUAGAUACCCUGGUAU
rnacentral:rRNA from 1 species